AGAGUUUGAUCAUGGCUCAGAACUAACGCUGGCGGCGUGCCUAACACAUGCAAGUCGAACGAGAAAGUUGGCUUCGGCCGAUGAGUAAAGUGGCGCACGGGUGAGUAACGCGUGGAUAAUCUGCCCUUUAGUUUGGAAUAACGUACCGAAAGGUGCGCUAAUACCGGAUGAUACUGAGUGACUACUGUCAUUUAGUCAAAGAAGGCUUCUGUUUACAUGCUUUUGCUGAAGGAUGAGUCCGCGUACCAUUAGCUAGUUGGUAGGGUAAUGGGCCUACCAAGGCGACGAUGGUUAGCUGGUCUGAGAGGAUGAUCAGCCACACUGGAACUGAGACACGGUCCAGACUCCUACGGGAGGCAGCAGUGAGGAAUAUUGCGCAAUGGGGGGAAACCCUGACGCAGCAACGCCGCGUGAGUGAGGAAGGUUUUCGGACCGUAAAGCUCUGUCGAGCGGGAAGAAAUGCAUGGGUGGCUAAUAUCCAUCAUGCUUGACGGUACCGCUAAAGGAAGCACCGGCUAACUCCGUGCCAGCAGCCGCGGUAAUACGGGGGGUGCGAGCGUUGUUCGGAAUUAUUGGGCGUAAAGAGCGUGUAGGCGGCUGAAUAAGUCAGAUGUGAAAUCCCUGGGCUUACCCCAGGACGUGCAUUUGAAACUAUUCGGCUAGAGUAGGGGGAGAAGGGAAAAGUGGAAUUCCUGGGUGUUAGAAGGUGAAAUUCGUAGAUUAUCAGAGAACACGGGUGGGCGAAAGCCGACUUUUCUGGCCCUAUACUGACGCUGAGACGCGAGAGCGUGGGUAGCAACAGGAUUAGAUACCCU
rnacentral:rRNA from 1 species